rnacentral:rRNA from 1 species
AAUCAACGCUGGCGGCGUGCCUAACACAUGCAAGUCGAACGCGAAAGCCCUUUCGGGGGUAAGUAGAGUGGCGUCCGGGUGAGUAACACGUAGGUAAUCUACCUUCGGGUGGGGAAUAACUCGCCGAAAGGCGAGCUAAUACCGCAUAAUGCAGCGGCACCUAAUGGUGAUUAGUUGUUAAAGCGGGGGAUCGUAAGACCUCGCGCCUGAAGAGGAGCCUGCGGCAGAUUAGCUAGNGGUGAGGUAAUGGCUCACCAAGGCUUCGAUCUGUAGCUGGUCUGAGAGGACGGCCAGCCACACUGGCACUGAC